UACGGAGGGUGCAAACGUUGCUCGGAAUCAUUGGGCGUAAAGCGCGUGUAGGCGGCUGGUCAAGCGUGGUGUGAAAUCUCCGGGCUCAACCCGGAAACUGCAUUGCGAACUGACCUAGCUGGAGUGCAGGAGAGGGCAGCGGAAUUCCCGGUGUAGCGGUGAAAUGCGUAGAUAUCGGGAAGAACACCAGUGGCGAAGGCGGCUGCCUGGCCUGUAACUGACGCUGAGACGCGAAAGCGUGGGGAGCGAACCGGG
rnacentral:rRNA from 1 species